CCCCGCCAUGCAAAAUCCGGGGGACUGUAGUGUGUGGAUUUCCAACAGGGCACGCAUGCGAAGAGCGGUCAUAAGAUAGACAUAGAAAAGCUUAAAAGCUUAUCACCGAAUAUCAUUGAUCUGCGGUCACCUUGGAUAAGUGAACGAAACAUCACGCGAUUCUUAUCUAUGUUUUUGCAUAUCGAGAUAAGAGUGCCGUUAUGUAAAAGCUUUUUCUCUAGCAUAGUUAGGGCUAGAUUUGCAUAGGAGAGCUUUGACAUUUUUUGACGAGCUUGAAAGCAAUACGGCUGCAAUUGUAAGCCAAGUUUAAUAAAUAUUUAAAUUGUGCUGAAAAUUAAAUAAAAUCAAAUCCCAGACGAAUUAUCGGGAUUCAUUUAAUAAGUGUUUAGUUAUUUUAUGCCAGUGCCACGUGCCAGUGCGGCUAGUACCAAAUUAUGUAAGCGGCUAGCACCAGUUUUUUUUAAUCGGCUAGUACAGGAUUAUGUAAUCGUCUAGCACCCUAUUAUGCAACCGGCUAUCUGGAGGCCGAAAUGGAUGAAAUAUGGGAAUUAACUAGUGCAGAGAUUCGACGCGGGAUCGCAAUCUUUUGAUAAAUAUUUUUGGAUUCGACGACAAGCCCCCUUUUCGCUACACGGAGAGAAAACUCCAGCGAAUUAUUGAUAAAUUUCUAUUCCUGUCCUUGAGCUCAACGGCGGCGAACAUCGGUGAGUGAAUAUCCCUAAAUUAAAUUUUAAUAGUUUUGCGAAGCAAACAGUAAAUUUUAGCAAGGCAUGAAUUGGAUAAUUUUGGAUUGAUAAUAAUUUUAAC